UUUACUGGUUGCCUGUGUUAUAUUUUAUGUUGGUAUUUCUGACUUGGAAUCGAGCAUGUUCUGAGGAUUUUGCAAAUAACUCGCCCUUGUACUUCGAACCGCCGUGGUAAACGCAGCAUUUCUGAUCCUGACUGACUGAUAAAAACUCCAUUGAAGUUUUUGGCCUUGCUUUGCCGUUCCGAAUUGGGAUUGUUUCUUUGGAGUUGUCUGGAAUUCUAUUGUGGGUCGAGAAGACUGGUUGUGCAGUUUUGGCACUAGUUGUGGGCGAUUUUGGCCUGUGUGUGGUUCAGAAUUCCAGAGAAGCCUUGUAGAGGGAUAUAUUCGUCAGUUGAGGACAGGAUUUUACAACACGGACUGUGUGUGAUGGUCGUACGAGAUGAGUACGAGGACUUUUAAAGAACCCUUUUCCAUGGAGUAACGUGUGGCGACGCCAUUUUGUUUUGGAACGUCCACAUGGUGGAAAGGGUUCUCCUUUCUUUUCCUUGGCUGUACUCCUUUGGAGUUUAAGAUGAUGUAUGUUUAGAUUAGGAUUUUUUUUAUUUGUACUGGAUUUGGGGUACUGCGUACUGCAACUAAUGCUACUGUGACGUGAAUGCCACUGUGACGAGGAAUGCCACUGGGAUACUGAAGACCAGACACCUGGAUUUUCUCAUGGACUGACUGGAACGACCACUGGAUGACAGAUAAGACUUUAAUCAUCUCUUAUUUUAUUGCGUUUAUGAUUGAUUGAAA